rnacentral:rRNA from 1 species
GGAAGUAAAAGUCGUAACAAGGUCUCCGUAGGUGAACCUGCGGAGGGAUCAUUACAGAGUUCAUGCCCUUCGGGGUAGAUCUCCCACCCGUGUAUUUAUACCUUUGUUGCUUUGGCAGGCCCGCCUCGGCCACCGGCUUCGGCUGGUGAGUGCCUGCCAGAGGACCCCAAACUCUGAAUUUAUUGUCGUCUGAGUACUAUAUAAUAGUUAAAACUUUCAACAACGGAUCUCUUGGUUCUGGCAUCGAUGAAGAACGCAGCGAAAUGCGAUAAGUAAUGUGAAUUGCAGAAUUCAGUGAAUCAUCGAAUCUUUGAACGCACAUUGCGCCCUCUGGUAUUCCGGAGGGCAUGCCUGUUCGAGCGUCAUUACAACCCUCAAGCUCUGCUUGGUAUUGGGCCUCACCGGCAACGGUGUGCCCUAAAAUCAGUGGCGGUGCCAUCUGGCUCUAAGCGUAGUAAAUCUCUCGCUCUAGGUGCCUGGUGGACGCUUGCCAACAACCCCCAAUUUUUUUAAGGUUGACCUCGGAUCAGGUAGGGAUACCCGCUGAACUUAAGCAUAU